UACGUAGGGUGCGAGCGUUAAUCGGAAUUACUGGGCGUAAAGCGUGCGCAGGCGGUUCGUUGUGUCGGCGGUGAAAAGCCCCCGGGCUUAACCUGGGAAUGGCCGUCGAAACUGGCGAACUGGAGUGUGGCAGAGGGGGGGUGGAAUUCCGCGUGUAGCAGUGAAAUGCGUAGAUAUCGGGAGGAACACCUGUGGCGAAAGCGGCUCACUGGACCAUAACUGACGCUGAUGCACGAAAGCUGGGGGAGCAAACAGG
rnacentral:rRNA from 1 species